AUACGCGUCUCAGUCCAUUGUAAAGUGUCGCCCAUGACUGGUCGAUCAUUUUAAACACAGGACUGGUUGAUAUACUACGCGGUGUACACAGGACUGGUUGAUAUACUACGCGGUGUACACAGGACUGGUUGAUAUACUACGCGGUGUACACAGGACUGGUUGAUAUACUACGCGGUGUACACAGGACUGGUUGAUAUACUACGCGGUGUACACAGGACUGGUUGAUAUACUACGCGGUGUACACAGGACUGGUUGAUAUACUACGCGGUGUACACAGGACUGGUUGAUAUACUACGCGGUGUACACAGGACUGGUUGAUAUACUACGCGGUGUACACAGGACUGGUCCAUUACGGUGUGCACAGGACGGGUAAACUUCGGUAUAGACAGGACGGGUCCAUUUCCGUGUCUACAGGACGGGUCCAUUACGGUGUCCACACCCAGCUUGACAGCUAAGAGCCCGCUGAUAUAAUGUCCCAACUGAAGCCAACAGGUCUAAGCUUCGCAGUGCCUGAUAGACAGUACUAUGUGUAUGUGAGCAGUGGCGUGUAAGAAGCAAGGAGAGGAUGAGUGGCGCAUCACGUGAGAGGAGAGGCAGGUGGAGGCGAGUGUUGGGGUUGCUGCCCUACGCAAUAUUGCUGGUAGUGGUCCCCACCCCGGCCAGCGCUCCCCUCACGCAGCUCAACAGUAACCAACACGCUGAUAACGCAGAUAACAGUGAGGGCUGCACGCUGUGUUACUCUCGUGAUGCUGCGCUGGGUCUUGGUCGACAUGGGAAGCCAACAGUACCGCCCGCACUGUGUAGUGAGGGUAACUGUGCACGAGACGACGAUGAUGGUUUUAAUGGUGAUUUGGGUAUAGCUGGUAAUGGUGACCUUGAUAAAGAUGAUAUUAAUAGUGAGGCCAGUGAGAAUUCUAGCCAUGAUCUCGUAUCUGGCGUUGUAGGUGGAACAGAAGAACUCCUCGGAUUAAAAAGUGAAUUUGCUGAAAAAGAAAAUGAGAGCGACUUAACACCAGGGCCAAGAACGACAUUGGGUUUGAGUAAGCCUCUAUUGCUUUCUGGCCACCAAGGCACCCAGAUAGCCUCUCCUGGUGACCAUGGCGGUGAUGACAGCCUCUUGGUGAGAGCCUCCAACGAAGCGGCGCCACACCACAACUAUGAAGGUACUAUAAGGUCUAUUCAAGCUCACCCUAAGGUUUCUCAGAUCUCCGAGCCACCGGGUGACCUCCCCCACGUGUCUGGACGAUACCCCCUGCGACCACCGGGUGAUAACACCACACGCGAUAGUCGUAUGGAGGGUACACAGGGUGGACACAGCAAACACACGAAGGAUACACAGGGCGGACAAAGCAACUAUAUGGAUGAUACACAAAGGAGACGAAGCCACAUGCUAAGUAAACAAAACUAUCUGGGAACCAAUAAGCAAAGAUCGCGAGGCCGCGAAACGGAUUCAUCAUUAGAAAGGCAGCAACGGGUAGUGAGGAGAGCAGAGAAGACUCAGCAGCCACAAGACUCGGCAGCACAACCAGCAGAAAUGCGGCCAGCAAACUGCACGUCAGCGCCCUCUUGCUCCGGACAACAGCCGGAACUCGGGGCAAGGUAUCCGUGCAGCUGCGACGCCCACUGUCACGUCUAUGGCGAUUGCUGCCAGGGGGUCCAGACGCCCCUACACCAGACCACGCCCACCACCCUCUCCCCAUCCUUCUUCACCUGCAGCAGCCUCACGCCCUCCGCUCACCGCAUGUGGGCCACUCCCAAGAUGGUGUACAUGGUGGGGCGGUGCCCCGCAGAGACGGAGCCUCAGCUGGCGGCCAAGUGUGCACGGACUGCUCCUGCUACCUAUCUCAUGGACAUUCCCGUCUUCUCCAACGCUUCUGGGGUCGUUUACAGCAAUGUCUAUUGCUCGAAAUGUCACCACGACUUCCGUAUAGAGAGGAUGAAUGUGAGCAUCACUUGUUCUCUGAACAUAACGUCUGCGGCUGAACUGGCCAACAUGACUUACCAUCCCGGGCAGCUGAGGUGGACCCUGGCAAACAGUGAGGGCGAAGAGGUGCCGAGUGGGAUACCUGUGUUGCACUCUCAACCAUCUAUGUCUUGCUUGUUGGAUGUAAAUUAUCCCGAAACUGUGGGUCGUAGGUGUGAGGAGACAGUCAACUCGUGCAAGGUGGAUUGGCCCGAUAAGGAAAAUUGGCAGCGAUGCUCGUCGUACAAUUAUUACGUGGAGGUGAACGAUAUCGUGUACAAAAACUGGGACUGCGCCAUUUGUAAUGAGGAAGAAGAGGGUGACAUUCAGUGUCUUUACAAGUACCCAAUCAUUGACGACCUUGACCUACGCAUAUUUGCGCAACCGCCUUCUCUGAUUGACCUUUUCAUCAUUGACGGUGAGUGUGAGGACAGUCAGGUAUGGGAUAUCCUGCACCAUCGCUGUGAAGAUGUCUCCUGCGGCUUUCUCUUCACCUUGGUUGACGGCAAAUGUUUGAGGAACAACAAGACAGUUGAUGGUCGUCCUUACCUCAACAUAUCCUGCUAUACGAGAGAUUUUAACCGUGACUACAGUGUCAUGUUUCCAAACCAGAGUAUCUACCUCAACCACACAGAAAAAACAUACGACUUGGGAGAAUAUGAGUUUAACAGCUCGUGGAUUAGAGUGUGUCGUCCGGAAGGUCGCUGGACUCCAGUCAUGAACAAGAUAUCGGCAGUUCUCAUCUCCAUCUCGCUGGUAUGUAUGUUCUUGCACAUGAUCAUAUUUCUGGCACUCCCAAAAAGACGCAACAUUCCCAGUAUGAAUCUCUUUUCUAUGACUGUUUCUCUAUUUAUCACCGAAUUCAUAUUUGUAAAUUUCUUUCACAUGAAUCAAAACUACACUUCUUGCGUUAUCAUUAGUGUAAUGAUUUAUUACUUUCUGAGUGCCUCUUUCCUCUGGAUGAAUGUCAUGAGCAUUGAUAUCUGCAGAACCUUUCUCUCAAGAACAUACAAGAUGAAGUCUCGUUCAGUUUUCUUUCAGUAUUCAAUAUACGCAUGGUCUGUGCCGCUAGUUGGAUCUCUGACAGCUGUCUCCGUAAACCAGUUGUCCUCACCUGAGUUCCUUCUAACGCCACAGUUUGGAACGGACGUGUGCUGGUUCAACAACAAAUGGGGACUAGUGGCAUUCUUUACCCUACCGUCUAGCCUAGUGAUACUGAGCAACGUUAUGUUGUAUGCAAUGUCAGUAUACAGUAUAUACAAACAAAUGAAGUCCGGAGAGUUUGCCUCGUCGACAAUACAUAAAAGCAGCAGCCAGCAGGGGAAUGGGAAGAAAAAAGAAAAGUUUCUGAAGUCUUCUAACGUUGAAGUUGGGGAAAGAAUGUUAAAUGUAAAGAGUAAUGAAGAGUCCGGUUCACCGAGAUGCGCUGAACGUAUAAAAGAGAGAAUUCACAGGAGAAUCGUAGCCCACAAAAAACAACGGAUACGACUGGUACUUUACUGCAAGUUGGCCCUCAUGAUGGGUUUAACUUGGGUGUCUGCUUUCCUUUCACUUCAUACCCUCAGUAUUGUCUUUGAGUAUCUUUUCAUUGUAUUUAAUGGACUUCAAGGAACUUUCAUUUUCAUUGCUUUUGACUGUAAGCAAAAAGUGUGGUAUGAAAUUCGUCAGAAAAUUGCUAGCAUGAAAAAAUUCCAGCCUGACAGCACCAGCAGCUCAUUCACCACCAAGUCCACGUCGCUAAGGACGUCUUCAGACAGGGGCUACAAAUAUCGAUGGUCCUCGAGUCGACGCCAGGAUGGAAGCCGCAAGCACUCAUCAGUGUCCGGUAACCAAAGUGAGUCGCAGAUCUUACAAAGUAAAAAUGAGAGUAACGUUUAAACAGUUCAACAGAUCGCUCCGAGUUACCCAACAGUUACAUGGGAUUUUAUGAGCUUAAAAUAACAAAUCAAAAUCGAACACAAAAUUUGCAUCUACGUAAAGCCAGAGAAAUAGUUUGUAUUUAAACAAAAAAUGAAGAGACGCAGAGACAGAUUUUAGAGAACAUAAUGGAAGCUGCAGAAGGCCUUUUGGACCAUACGAGGAGUUCAAGAUGUAUAUAUGAAAGAAUGCAAGGACUGUUUUAAGAAAAAUUCUACAUUUAUCUUGAAAAAUUCAACAUAAAUUUAUGGAAGGCUGUGCGCUGGUCAGCAAGAGACCAGCUUUUGGUGUAUCCCAAAGAGAGAGGUCAACAAGAGACCAGCUGUUGGUAUAUCCCAAAGAGAGAGGUCAACAAGAGACCAGCUGUUGGAGUUUCCAAGAGAGAGAGAGAGAGAGAGAGAGAGAGAGAGAGAGAGAGAGAGAGAGAGAGAGAGAGAGAGAGAGAGAGAGAGAGAGAGAGAGAGGGGGGGGGGGGGGGGGAGGUCAGUGAGACCAGUUGUUAAAGGUAAACAACACGAACGUUCAAAACAAGGAGAGUUUACCCAAAUUUAGGGAUUAUGUGGAUAGUAUUUAUUUUGUCCAAGAACAGCAAAAUUUAUAUAUAGCCAUUCGAAAAAUAUUUUAAUUAUAUACAAAUUUUCAUAAUUCUCUUUUAAACAUUUGUCAUUGAUAUUAUCUUUCAUACAUAUUUACAUAUUUUUAAUAUAUGCUGCUCACAAAAAAACGAACAUUUUAUAUCAUCAUCAUCAUCAUCAUCAUCAAAUCGUAUCAUCACUUCUAAAUGCUAGGCGUCAUCAACUUCAAUGUGUUGUAUCCUGUCUGCCACAAAUCCUUAUCAUGCGGCGUUUGUAUUCUGAAUAAUUACUGUCUAUGCUUGUUGUUUACAUGUAGGAUGUCUGGGUCUUCAGUGAACAGGCAGAAUAUUAUCUAAUAUCUCUAGUCUAAGUCACCAAGUAGGCAACACUGGCCAGCAGUGUCUUGGUGGACCCAGGGUUUUCACGGGACCCCUGACAUUGGAGCCAUUGAGAAAUCUUAGGAGGACGGACUGUCCUGAAAGAGGACAACUGGUAACCGGCUACUGAAAGCCGGGGUCCAAGAGCUAAUGCUCGCUCUACUAACAUAUAUAUAUUACUACACACACACACACACGUGUACACACGUUACCUAAGCAUGUGUGUUACUAGACUACAUAUUGUGGGGUAGAAAUAGCCUAAGCUACUGUAUCCCUUUGAGAUGUAUUUAUUGCUUAUCUCAAUAAACAUACUUGAACUUGAACUUGACUACAUAUUGCCAUAAUCAUGAAUAAAGGAUAUAUUUCCAAUGUGCUUUGCCAUUGUAAACAUGCAGAGAUAAUUUCGACAUAAUUUCCGUGUUCCGGUAACACCAAUGUAACUACUGUAUGACGCCGGGUUAACCCGUGUAAGACUGAUUAAGGCAUUAAGACCUAAAUGUAAUUACCAAAUUAUUAAUAAAAGAUAGUCAUU
rnacentral:misc_RNA from 1 species